rnacentral:rRNA from 1 species
UACGUAGGGCGCAAGCGUUGUCCGGAAUUAUUGGGCGUAAAGAGCUCGUAGGCGGCCUGUUGCGUCCGCUGUGAAAUCCCGGGGCUCAACCCCGGGCCUGCAGUGGAUACGGGCUGGCUAGAGGCAGGCAGGGGAGAACGGAAUUCCUGGUGUAGCGGUGAAAUGCGCAGAUAUCAGGAGGAACACCGGUGGCGAAGGCAGCUCGCUGGGACGUGACUGACGCUGAGACGCGAAAGCGUGGGGAGCAAACAGG